rnacentral:rRNA from 1 species
UCCAAUAGCGUAUAUUAAAGUUGCUGCAGUUAAAAAGCUCGUAAUUGAAUUUCGGGACCAAUAUGUCGGUCGUGCUUCGGUACGUACUGAUAUAAUUGGUUUCUCCCUUCUGAAGAACCUUGAUGUCAUUAAUUUAGUAUCUUGGGGAAUCAGGACUGUUACUUUGAAAAAAUUAGAGUGUUUAAAGCAGGCUCGCGCUUGAAUACAUUAGCAUGGAAUAAUGAAAUAGGACGUUUGAUUCUAUUUUGUUGGUUUCUAGGAUUGACGUAAUGAUUAAUAGGGAUAGUUGGGGGCAUUAGUAUUCAAUUGUCAGAGGUGAAAUUCUUGGAUUUAUUGAAGACUAACUACUGCGAAAGCAUUUGCCAAGGAUGUUUUCAGUAAUCAAGAACGAAAGUUAGGGGAUCGAAGACGAUCAGAUACCGUCGUAGUCUUAACCAUAAACUAUGCCGACUAGGGAUCGGAUGAUGUUAAUUUUUUAAUGACUCAUUCGGCGCCUUACGGGAAAC